rnacentral:rRNA from 1 species
AUUGAACGCUGGCGGCAUGCCUUACACAUGCAAGUCGAGCGGUAACGCGGGGCAACCUGGCGACGAGUGGCGAACGGGUGAGUAAUGUAUCGGAACGUGCCCAGUUGUGGGGGAUAACUGCUCGAAAGAGCAGCUAAUACCGCAUACGACCUGAGGGUGAAAGCGGGGGAUCGCAAGACCUCGCGCAAUUGGAGCGGCCGAUAUCAGAUUAGGUAGUUGGUGGGGUAAAGGCCCACCAAGCCAACGAUCUGUAGCUGGUCUGAGAGGACGACCAGCCACACUGGGACUGAGACACGGCCCAGACUCCUACGGGAGGCAGCAGUGGGGAAUUUUGGACAAUGGACGCAAGUCUGAUCCAGCCAUGCCGCGUGCGGGAAGAAGGCCUUCGGGUUGUAAACCGCUUUUGUCAGGGAAGAAAAGGGCGACUUUAAUACAGUUGCCUCAUGACGGUACCUGAAGAAUAAGCACCGGCUAACUACGUGCCAGCCGCCGCCGUAAUAC